AUGCUGUGCUGCUUUCCCAGGCCUCGAGGCUGCAGCAAUAGGACCCCAUGCAGGGAAAGCACUUGGGCGCAAGUGAGAGGAUGGAUGGCUAAGUUCCCGUGCUUCAGGCCACUCACCAGGAACUACCUGGCCUUCAGGGGCAGCACAGGGCGGGUCUCACCAGACCCAGAGACCUGGGGACCUGAGAUGAGCAGGAACCCAGGGGAGUUCUCCCUGGACCUGGACACCAGACACUCGGGGCCACCGAGUCCAGGACAGGUCCAGUUAGCCCUCCUGGACCUGGACACCAGACUCUCGGGGCCACCGAGUCCAGGACAGGUCCAGUCAGGCCCGGCCACCACUAUUGGGGCCCAACGGGAGGAGAGCCAGGCAGAGGACUGCAUAGUGAGGAUGGUGCUGGCAGGCACGCAGCACCCCCUGAGGGAGACCCCGGAACAGGACUUCCUGGACAGCCACCCCAUCCACGCAGACUCCCUCCUGGACCCCUCUGGGGCCUGCAUUCCCACCCUGCAGGAGGGGAUGGUGCGAAGGUGAGCUCUGUGGUCGGCAGCCAGGGGCACUUGGCCACCUUGGCCCCAAGUCUUUGGAAGGUAUGAGCCCUGCCUCAGCUUGCUUGCAACUCUGAGCAACAGGGCACUGAGAAAAUCGGGCUCUCAGCAUCACUGUGGGGCAGAACUGGGGUCUCCAGGGCAGUGCUGACCCGGGCCUGCCGGAUUCCCUUCCAUCCCUGGCCGGCUGUGCUUUGCCCCACUGAGCCCUGCACAGGGAAAGGCUGUCCGUUCCCUGUAAAGGAGACCGCAGAGUGACUCAGCAGGGCUCUGGUCUUCCCAGAGCAGGAGUCUGUCGGGAUGCAAAGGGCCCAGGCCCACUGACAUCAGGGAAGAGCAGGUGGGGUCCCCAUUCCAUGGACGUAUGUGAAGGCACACUGUGCAGAUCUUUCCCAGGGCUCGGCUAUGAUUGCCAGUAGCCAGAGCAGAUGCAAUCCCUGCCCUGUGGGGCUUCAGUGCUGUUUGGAGUCCUCAGUCACCCUGGACAGCUGAGCAAGCAUUCCUCGCACUGCAGUAGAUGGCACUUUCCCGGCCUCCCUAGAUGUGGAUCCACAGCAGUGCAAGAGGAGCCCAGGAGUGGCAUAGACACCGGGCAGCACAGCGCUGCAGAGCUAAAGCCUGAGGAGAGGUGGGCAGGACAGAUGCCCACUAUCCCCCAUGUCUCAGGUCGUUACAGAGCAGUGGCCCAGUGCCCUUGAGUGUAACAUACACAGACACCAGACUUUGUCCUCAUGCAGCUGACA
rnacentral:lncRNA from 1 species